rnacentral:rRNA from 1 species
UGACGGUACCACUUGAAUAAGCUCCGGCUAACUACGUGCCAGCAGCCGCGGUAAUACGUAGGGAGCAAGCGUUAUCCGGAUUUACUGGGUGUAAAGGGCGUGUAGGCGGGACAUCAAGUCAGAUGUGAAAGCACGAGGCUCAACUUCGUGUCUGCAUUUGAAACUGACGUUCUUGAGUGUUGGAGAGGCUAACGGAACUCCUAGUGUAGCGGUGAAAUGCGUAGAUAUUAGGAAGAACACCAGUGGCGAAGGCGGUUAGCUGGACAGUAACUGACGCUGAGGCGCGAAAGCGUGGGUAGCAAACAGGAUUAGAUACCCUG